GAAACGAGUGUGAUGUCUUGAGGACUUUUCCUGGAAUACCCAUUUUUACCUUCGCCGUUUAUAAGCAUGAUAAUUCCAUCGUCAUAUCACUAUCAAGUGGUUUGGAUGAGUACAAUGAUGCCAUGAUGCCUCCAUGGCGCGACAAACGUGCCUGAGAUUCUUCAUUAAUAUUGUUCUUUGGCUGACAGAUAGUCAACCAACAAAUUGGCCCACUGUCAGCCAUUGAUCAGGCAACAGUCCACUGAAUGUUGUUUGACACUUUUCAUGAAGGUUGUGGUUUCUCAAUGCAGUUUGUGUAAGGAAAAAGUCAAACACCCACAGAUGGCCAGAGUUACGACAUGCUUUAAUGUGUCUCAAUUUGUCAAGAGUGGGGGAAGGGUGGGGGAGGGGAGAAGAAGCGACAUAGAGAUCAGAAUAGAGAAAAGAAAGAGUAGAAUACAACCAAUAGUUAUGAGCACAGAGCGGAAAAUUUAAGAAAAACCAAGGCACCUGUUUAGCAAGCCAAGAAGAAAAGAAUUCAGAAGACCAACGAGGUGGCCCACCACAUGCUAGACCUGAGGACUUUUAAUGUGGAGAUAUGAGAGUAAACAAAGGGGAGGAUGGAAGGAUUAGCAGGGGAAGGAUUAGCAGGGUAUAGAUUAUUAUGAAAAAGAUUAGAUGUGUUGUUAGAUGCCAGGUAACGAUAACAAGUGAAUUCACAACAGACUGUGUGAAAAAUUCAAACACUUUGAUCUAGCCACUAAAAUAACCAUGAUUAAACACUGUUUAAAAAAAGGCAACUAAUUUGAAUAACUAUUGUUCUGGACUGACCACCCUCCUAUACAUGUGAAAACGCUUUUAUGUUUCCAUGUGAACAUAGGGCUAGUCAGUACAGAAGCAUAGUUAUUCAAAUUGAUCGCCAUAUUUUGAUUCAAUGUAUAAAACACAAGCUAGUAUUAAAUAAUGAGACAUUAAACUAAUUAAAUUAAACAAUGGGUGGAUACUGCUAUCUGAUGGAUAAACCUUAUUCAGUGGAUUAAUGAUUAUUAUUAAUCAUUAUCAAUUAUUCAUUGGAUAACAGCUUCGACUUAUCCACUGGAUAAGGAUUUAUCCAUGGGAUAUUGCUAUCGACCCUUCGUACACUUCGUCUAGAUGUCUACCAUAUAUACCUUAUU